UCUUUGGUUUCCUAGCUGUGUG
rnacentral:miRNA from 1 species